UACGAAGGGGGCUAGCGUUGUUCGGAAUUACUGGGCGUAAAGCGCACGUAGGCGGACUAUUAAGUCAGGGGUGAAAUCCCGGGGCUCAACCCCGGAACUGCCUUUGAUACUGGUAGUCUCGAGUCCGGAAGAGGUGAGUGGAAUUCCGAGUGUAGAGGUGAAAUUCGUAGAUAUUCGGAGGAACACCAGUGGCGAAGGCGGCUCACUGGUCCGGUACUGACGCUGAGAUGCGAAAGCGUGGGGAGCGAACAGG
rnacentral:rRNA from 1 species